rnacentral:ncRNA from 1 species
AGUACACUAUUAGUAGAGAAUAUGUUUGCGAGCCCCCUCGGGGGUCUCAUCGCCCUCGUUGCCGCCCCUCCUGGUGACGGGGGCUUUUUU